UCGGGAAUUUUGGGCAAUGGGCGAAAGCCUGACCCAGCAACGCCGCGUGAAGGAUGAAGUAUUUCGGUAUGUAAACUUUGAAAGAAUAGGAAGAAUAAAUGACGGUACUAUUUAUAAGGUCCGGCUAACUACGUGCCAGCAGCCGCGGUAAUACGUAGGGACCAAGCGUUGUUCGGAUUUACUGGGCGUAAAGGGCGCGUAGGCGGCAAUUCAAGUCAUCUGUGAAAUCUCCGGGCUUAACUCGGAACGGUCAGAUGAUACUGCUUUGCUAGAGUGCAGAAGGGGCAAUCGGAAUUCUUGGUGUAGCGGUGAAAUGCGUAGAUAUCAAGAGGAACACCUGAGGUGAAGACGGGUUGCUGGGCUGACACUGACGCUGAGGCGCGAAAGCCAGGGGAGCAAACGGGAUUAGAUACCCAUGUAGUCCCUGAGCGGGCUGGCAAGGCGCAU
rnacentral:rRNA from 1 species